UGUGGACACAAAUUCCCUUGACUGUCAUUUUAAUAUUCUCUGGAUUUUCUUGCCUGGAAUUGGAUUAUGUUACUAACUACUACUUAAUUAGGUGUUGUAUGGUUACAGAUAUGUUUUGCUGCUAUUUGGUUCUCUAGGCUAUGAAAUGGUAAAGGGAUGGCAAUUGAAAGCUUGCUAUUAACUAGUAAUUAAUUAGGUGUUAUAUCCAUUGCUGCUUGGCAUAACUUUUGGAGAAAUAAUUUGAUGUGAAAUUUGCUAAUCAUCUAGCCUCACUCUCUGUACAGGGGCUGUUGAGUCCUUGGUUAACAGCGGGAAACAAAUUGAUGCCGUACAUUUCAUCCAUGCCUUCCAACUUACUGAAAGCUUUCCCCCUGUUACCCUCUUGAAGACGUACUUAAAGAAUUGAAGAAGAAACUCACAGGGAAAGGGUGUGAGUUCGGGCGGAGAUACUAGUGCACAGAUUGAUGAAAAUGCACAUGAACUUGCUGCUUUGAAAGCUGUAGUUAGUUGUGUCCAAGAGUACAGGCUUGAACCUGACUAUCCUCUUGAUCCACUUCAGAAAAGGAUUGAACACCCCAAGAAACAAAGAGCAAACUGAGGAUACCGUGGAUUUCUUUCUCACAGUGGCAAGGCAGCUCCUCGUAGGCUUGUUCUGCCUGUUUUCUGAUGUGUCGUGCACUUGCGAGCAAGCAAAACGCAACAUUUUCUUUGACAGGGCAGCAUAUGGAGGAAUGCCUGAGAGAUAUCCUGUGGCUGGUCAAAUCUCUUACGAUUAUCAAGUUCCUAGCCAGCCUGGUUUUGCUCAGCAACCAAAUGAUCAAAGAAUAUGCCUUUAUCCCCAAGAUGUAGUUAUCAAAUGCAAGAUUUGUGUGCAACCUUAGUGAAUGUGCAGAGAAUUUAUUUGUGAGUGAAUGACAUUUUCCCACCCA